AAAAUAUUCACAUCAGGAAAAAACAUUAUUGAAAUAAUAAUUCCGUGGCGUGAAAGAUUCGUAUUCAAGCAAUACGUACUAAAUGAAGGCCACAAAUACAGUAUAAAAUUAUUCGAAUUCUUUUGAAUCAUAUACAUGAUCGAUGAGAAUUUAUUAUGGAAAAUCAGUUAAUGGAAUAAUAUAUGCUUUUCAAGAUCGAACACUGUAUAUCGAUAAUUUCUAUGAAUUAGCUAUUUCAUGUCUAAAACAGGAGAAUCGCAUAGUUGGAACAGUAAGGAACAAAAAAAGUUCAUCCCGAAAGAGUAGGUUAAAAAAGGAGAGAUGAUAUCUAAAGAAGAUGAAAAUAGUAUCCUUGUAUCCAAGUGAAGAGUUUCUAAAGACGUGAGAAUUUUGUCAACAUACUCCAUCAUGAUACCAAGUACAAAAAAUAUAAACAUCAAUGCAGAUUAACCGACAAUCAUGCGGAAAAUUAAAAUCUAUAACAAUUCUUGAUUAUAAUACAGUGUUAAAGAUAAAUCCAAGAUUCAUGUGGUCAAAUAGACUGAAUUCUAUUUUCAACAGCUUGAGUAUUUUUAAUAGUCUAACAAUAUUUUACAAGUAGGUAUCCUUCCAUAUUCUUAAUCAAAAUACAGAUAUACAACAAUGGCUGCUUAAUAAGUCACGCUUGCGCACCUGCUGUCUUGCGAUGGAUCACCAUGAAAGCAGUCGCAAGUAAGGUGCGACUACGACGCCUAUUCUUCAAAAUCGCCCUUCAACGCGAAUAUUCGUUCCUUUAACCUUCUCUUAGUUUGAAUUUUCAUGAAAAAUAAUGAUUGGAGGAAAAACCAAGAUCCGCCACAGUCUUCAGAUCAGAUCAGUUAGAGUCAAUAAAAUCAAUCGUCAAUAAUUAAACUAAACCAUCAAAAUUCAAGCUCAUAAUAUAAACGAUUAUACAGUCUUACAACAAAUGGAAAACUGCAUCUUGUAUCAAAUGACUAUUGAAGGCAAAAUUAUAACUCGAUUGGAAUUUUUAAAUGAUACAAUUCAAUCGAUAACGAAAGAAUGGAUAGAAGGAGAACCAACAAGAUUGUUGGGUGAAAUGCAACAGGUAUAAGAAAACUUCCUGGAAAAAGUUUAUAUUUAUGAAAAGAUCAGGUACAAUUUGUAAUUUCUGUAACAAAGGAUUACACGGUAUAUGGAUUACUAACCAUCGAUGCUGAAUAAAUUAUUUAUGUGAAUAACAAUAAUGAUGUUGUACUGGCUACACGAAUUACUUGUUUUAUAGCAAGUAAUCUUCCUAACGUUUGCUGCACAUCAUGGGAUUGUCAUUUAGUUUUGUAUUUCAUUAUUAAAAAUACAUAUAAUUAAUAUGUAUUAAUAUUACAUAUAAUUAAAAUGUAUUUAUG